GAAAACCCGCUUAUAUUCAAAGUU
rnacentral:snRNA from 1 species